rnacentral:rRNA from 1 species
UACGAAGGGGGCUAGCGUUGCUCGGAAUUACUGGGCGUAAAGGGCGCGUAGGCGGAUGUCUAAGUUGGGGGUGAAAUCCCGGGGCUCAACCUCGGAACAGCCUUCAAUACUGGAUAUCUUGAGUUCGGGAGAGGUGAGUGGAAUGCCGAGUGUAGAGGUGAAAUUCGUAGAUAUUCGGCGGAACACCAGUGGCGAAGGCGGCUACCUGGACAUAUACUGACGCUGAGGCGCGAGAGCGUGGGGAGCAAACAGG